rnacentral:rRNA from 1 species
UACGUAGGGGGCAAGCGUUGUUCGGAAUUACUGGGCGUAAAGGGCGCGUAGGCGGCAUGGCAAGUCAGGAGUGAAAGGCCUGGGCUCAACCGAGGAACUGCUUUUGAUACUGCCAAGCUAGAGUGCGGAAGGGGCAACUGGAAUUCCCAGUGUAGCGGUGAAAUGCGUAGAUAUUGGGAAGAACACCUGAGGCGAAGGCGGGUUGCUGGGGCGACACUGACGCUGAGGCGCGAAAGCCAGGGGAGCAAACGGG